CUUCCUCAUGACAUCACAUGGUUGCAGAAUGACUUGUUGAGCGUUCAUCUGUGAGGCAGGACUUCCUAAGUACAGAAAACGGUCAGCACUGUUGAAACUUGAUUUCGAAGGAAGGCUCUGGGUUAUUUUGCUCGUAAGGAGGUGAGACGUUGACAUUUUGUUUCUGAUUUGUUCUAGUUUGCUGAAAGGUUUCACAUGUUAAAACGUAUUUUCCUUAUUAUGUAACAUAUUGAGUGUAAAUAUGGAGUUUAUUGUCCUGAAAGUUUGAUAUUAUGAAAGAAAAACAAAUUUUUUGACAUUUAAAGACGAUUAAUCUCACCUAUAAUCUGCAAGUUUCAGAUUUUCACAAACAAAACAAGAAGCAUUCACACAUUUAACAGCUCAUACAUCAGGUUCUUUUCCAUCAGAGAUGUGUUAAAAAUGGCUUUUAGCGAGCAGAGGUAAUACAUCUGCUUCUCAGGAUCUGGCACUGCAGUCAUUACGCUGUCAUGUGUUCCUUACAGCAAGGCAUUAAGAUAAUCCUUCAGUGCUUUUGCACCACUUGUUCCUGCUCAGUUGGAAAGGGGAAGUGGUUUAAAGUUGUAAUAAGUCUGCUACUGUGGAGCCCUUUUCAGAUAGACAUUCUGGAACAUUUGUUUAGUUGUUGUUUAUUUUGUUUCUUUUGACAGAGAAACCUCCAUUAUCAGCAAAAGCCACGGAUCUCCUCGGCUGCUGCUUCUCAUCGCCGCCAUGCUGACUCCAAAGGCCCCCAAGGGUUGAACGGAGCACUUAAAGUGCUCUCUCCUAAAUACACCAGUGUCCCUUUUUGAAGAGCAUGGAGGAAGACGAGUGCAAGGUGAAUGGAUUGAGACCAAGCCCGGAGAGGAGAGGCUCAGACUGGGAUCACACCGCCCUUCUGGACAAGACCAAGGAGUUCUUUCAGACCUGCGAUGUGGAGGGGAAAGGCUUCAUCCACCGCACUGAUAUGAGGCGACUCCACAGAGAGCUGCCUCUUUCUGCUGAAGAGCUGGAGGACGUCUUCGACUCCCUGGACACAGACCACACAGGUCACCUCACGCUGGCGGCGUUUUCCUCUAGAUUCAGUCAGUUCCUGCACGGUCGCAGAAUCUCAGUAACUGAUGAGCCAAAUCAGGGCCUUGUGCCGGUUUCUAAGGCAAAGGAAGCGCUUUACCAGAGCCAGUGGGAAGCCAGACUGUCAGGAAUGGAAGAUGAGGAGGAGGAGGGACACUUCACCAUGCUGCUGGAAAGUCUGGGAGCCAGUAACGUGUUUGAGGAUCCAGACGAGGUGCGCAGCCUUUGGGUCAAACUCAGGCGGGAUGAGCCUCACCUCCUCUCCAACUUUGAAGAGUUUUUGGCCAGGGUUACUCACCAAAUUAAAGAGGCCCAUCAGGAAAGGACGGAGAUGGAGAGUGCCUUGCAGAGAAAGGCUGCUACUCACAACAGCGAGAUUCGUCAUUUAUACGAAGAGAUGGAGGCACAGAUCAAGACUGAGAAAGACAGGCUUCUGCUGCAGGACUCCGAGCGCAUUCAGCUGCACAGUCAGGACCUGGAGCACCAACUUCUGUCAAAGGAGAGGGAGCUGGAUCACCUUUUCCAGAAACAGAAACGGUUAGAGCUCCAGUGCCAUGAGCUGAACAACGAGAAGCAGGAGAGCCACGUGGAGAACGUCAAGCUGAAAAUGACCAAUGACGAGCUGUCCAGAGCGCUGGAGAACACCAGCCAGGAGCUGACGCUGGCCCAGGAGCAGCUGGCCAUGCUGCAGGAGCAGGCUGCCCAGCUGCAGUGGGAGAAGGAGAUGGAAAUGUACAGAGUCACUGAAGGGCUGCAGCGGGAAAAGCAGAGUCUUAUGAAGCAGCUUGAUCUCCUCAGAGAAAUGAACAAACAUUUAAAAGAUGAGUGCGACGUUUGCUGUGGUGUACCGAGAAAUUCACUCAGAAAGAAGCAGAAACAGAGAGCGGACCUCGACGACUUGUUUGACGGCUCCAGCAAACCAGCAAAAAGAGCUUCUCUGAUGGUGGACAGGUCCUUCCUGUCUUUAGAAGCGUUGCCUGUAGAGCACCUUCAAAUCGUGUUUGUUGCUCCAUCCUCCUGUAGUGAAGACGAAACUCCACCCACUUCCUCCACCACCACCGCCAGCGCCUCUAAAUGUCAACGACCUUCAGUGAAGAGGGUCUCAGGUUUGGCCAACGGUAACGCCAGCGGAGCUCAACCCGAGCUGCAUGAAGUCAAGCCGAAAACCAGAAAGAAUUCAGGCAAGACCACCAUGACAGUGAAAAACAGAGACCGGUCAAAGAAAGUGGAGACUGGGAGGAAGGUGGAGGAAGAGGAGGAAGUUGUGGAUGCUCCACCAGAUGGGUGGCCCCUGCAUCGCAUCAUCUCCAUUGAGGAGGACCAUCUACCACACCUGCUUCAAGGUGGACCUCAGAUCUUACCGCACCAGCUGAGUGAGGAGGAAGAUGAGGUGGAUGAGGAAGAUGCACUGAGUGAAAAUGAACCCGUUGCUGUUAAAGCUACAGAUGUUACCGUAACCCCUCCCUCCAGACUGACACCAAGCACCACUGAAGCUCCUUCUCCUUCUAAGAAGUCCCACCUUCACCGAGUGAAGAAGACUCCAAUGUCUUCAAGAGGACAGCCUGUGGGGAAGGAGACCCAGCAGGAAGCCAAAGAGAGAGCUCUGUUUGCCCCAGAUCGUCUGUUCAAGGUGGUCCUGGUUGGAAACUCCAGCGUAGGGAAGACGUCCUUGCUACGCUCUUUCUGCGAGGGACGUUUCCACCCGUCCACAACCGCUACAGUGGGUAUUGACUACAGCGUGAAGACACUGACUCUGGGGAACAUGCAGGUCGCCAUGCAGCUUUGGGACACUGCAGGUCAGGAAAGGUAUCGCAGCAUUACCAAACAGUUCUUCCGUAAGGCCGACGGUGUGGUUGUGAUGUAUGACGUCACAGUGGACGAAAGCUUCAAGGCUAUACGACCGUGGCUCUCCAGCGUCCAGGAAGCAGCAGGUGAAGGGAUUCAUAUUCUCCUGCUGGGCAACAAAAUGGACAUGGAACGAGAGAGGGAGGUGUCGUUUAGAGAUGCUCAACAACUGUCUUUUGAACACAAGGUAAUGUUCUUUGAGGUCAGUGCCUACACAGGAAAAAACGUGACAGAGUCGCUGACGCAACUGGCCAGAGUGUUGAUGGAGGCGGAGGACAAAGAACGAGACACAACAGUCACCCUCGGUGCUCAACCUGUUAAAAAGAAAGCCUGCUGCAAGUGAAGACACGCUGCCUAACAGCAAACAAAACAAGACUAAAUUGUCAUAGUCUGCAUCUGCGGCUCCCUCAUGUGUGUCCUGGUGUUCUCCAUCCCCCUCUAGGACCCCCUUAUGUGUCUCCUUGUGUUCCUCAUGUGUCCCCUUGUCUACAGCCCCCUCCAGGUUCUCCCCUUAAGCUUCCUGUAUUUUCUUGUAUUAUCUAACUAGAUUUUUCCUAUAGUUCUCAUAGGUUCAGGUUUUCUUCUCCUAGGUUCCUUGGUCCUUCCCCACCGGUUUAUUAGUUCUCCUUUUCUCCUUAGAUCUUUAUUUGGUUCUCCCAGUCUUUAGGUUUUGGUUAUUAUUCAUAGGCCAUGUUUAUUUUACCUUCUCAGCUUAGUUUCCUCUCCCUGAUUAGUUAAUUGAUUUCACUAGGUUCUCUCUCCUCACGCACCUGCAGCUCAUCUCUCAUUCAUCCCGCCCCUGUGCAUAUAACCUUGUCUGUGUCUCUCUGUGUUGUUGGUCCAUUGUUUGUGUCAGCAUCUUCUCAUCCCCCUCGCUAGGUUUUAGUAUCUUUAGGCCUCUUGUGUUCUUGGAUUUCUCUAGUUUUUGAUAUUAGGAUUUUUGGACUUUGGUCUUUGGCUCCCUGCCUCCUUUGGAUUUACUCCUUAAUAAAGGAUUUUACGAUUUUUCCA